AUACAGGUAAUUGAUCUGACUUCUCCUUCUUUACUUUCUUAUCUUGUUUACUUGUUUUAAUAUUUAUGCUGAUGUAGGAAUUAGGUUUCGUAGGUUUAUUGUUAUCAAAGAAGAUAAUUUUGGAAUCAAUAUAUAACCUGGAAACUUCUUUUGUUUGCAUUUAUUUUGGGAAAACCCACCAUUUAGCUAUUUAAAUGAAAAGCUGAUACUGAUACUGUGCCUUUAGUACUUCAUACAUAAUUUGAGGGUCUGGUUAGGAGUCUUUAAUUUCUUAAAUCUUUAUAUUUUUUUUACCAUUUUUCAAUUUUCUUAAUUUAUUUUGCUAAUUAUCCUCUAUUUUUGUUUUAUUAAUUUGUUUUAUUUUGUUUCACUAUUCUUUAUCAUGAUUUAUCGGCUUAUUUUUUAUGUCGGUUCUUUAUUUCCCCCUUUAUCUCCUCCAGUAUACUCUUUAUUCUGCAAACCCCAUAUAUGCCCUCUAAUACUGCUUUUUUCUUUAACCUUCUUACAAAUAAUAUUAGUUUACACAAUACGUGUCUCUUUGUAUUGUUUUCUUUUACACAUCAUUAAUAUCAUUUUCAUCUUCAAUUAGACCACAACACCUAUUUAUUCUCUUUAUUAAUAAAUUAUUCAAUUGUCAUACAUGGUUCAGUUCUUUAUUUAGACUUGGUAUUCCUUGCUAGUAAAAUGGGAAUCCGAAAACCCAAAUUUUAUCAUAUUAAUAGAAGAUAAUGUAAUGGUAGGGCGUAGACCAUUCGUCUUUAAAUUAUCUGUACAAGGAUUUAUAUGUACAAAUCCUUGCUCUGGACAAGCAUUUUUCAACUUUAAUAAUAAAAAAAGUACAAUAACAUAUUUUCUUACAAAACAAACAAUGGAAAGAUAUUUUAAAACUCUAAUGUUUAAUUUUACUUUUUUUCUUACUUAUUUUUAGUAAAAGAAAUGACAAAAUUAAUGGUCCACGCCCUAGCAUUUACGUUAUACAAUUAUAGCCUUUGUAUGAGGUCGAUACAAGGAUAUAUUGACCUGAAAGAAGUAUAUUGACUGAGGACGAAGUCCGAGGUCGAUAUACUUUUUUGGGUCGAUAUAUCCUGUAUUGACCUCAUAAAUAGGCUAUAAUCGUUUUUUUUUAUU
rnacentral:lncRNA from 1 species